rnacentral:lncRNA from 1 species
AUGGAUGAGUAUUUAUCUUUUCUAGGCCCCAGCAGCAAGGCUUGUUCAGAUGCUGGCAAUUGCUUGGUUUGGUGUUCACAUUACUGUCUUCCUCCUUCAGAAUGCUGCAGUCCCCAGAGAACUGAAGAAAGGGCUGUGAAUGCAUUGUACACAUGUAACCGUUUCUGGGAACGUGGAAGUGGAGACAAGGAGGUUCUUCUCCCAUUCAUUUUUCAACAGCACUAUGGAACCCUAGAAUCUCUGCAGGAUUCUGGAAUGCUAACAUGAGAAAGACAAACAUAGCAGUAAUUGCAUUAUAUGAGAAAAGGUAAAGAAGUACCUUCUAUUGCACCCUCAUUAAAAGUCAGACGAAGUUAGGUGCUUUAUAUUAUGUUGAAGCAUAUGAAAAAUGUCAUAUUUGUAGGCAAAAAUGGUAAAUUAUCAGCAAUUUUAUAUGGUUCAACCCAAUAGUUUUCUUUCUUUUUUCAUAAUGCCUGAAGUCUGACAAAUUUUAAUAGAAGAAAACUAGUUGUGUCAAGUCUAUGAAUCUCUUUCAUGAAAACUCAAUUUCUUUCUCUUCACCUUGUCCAUAUUCCUCUAUUUUAUUGUGGCAUUUUGAAUUUUCCAGUUUCAUCAAUCCACCAUCAGACCAGCAUUAAUUGGAGGAUUUUGCUUUCCAUUCUAAUAUACUAAUAUGUUGUCUACAGUGAUGGAGCUCAGAUUUCUGACAUCUGCUGGCUCAAUACAUUGGCUCACCCCUAGCUUAGUUUCAAUGGCACCACACUUGUUUUCUGACCAAAUCAAAUUUUUGUAUCCAGUUCUCUAGGAUAACACCAGGAGUAUUACCUUUUUUUAUACAAUUAAUACUAAAUUGUUCAUUAAUAUGAUUCACAUACUGAAGCAAGGUAAGGAAUCAUAGUGUGACCCAUUAUGAAUCUCUUUACCGUAAUUUAUUAGAUUGUUUUUAUACAUAUUUAAUUUUAAAAUGCGGGAUAUUCUCUCAGUUCAUACCAUAAAACAUGAAAAGAAAUAGCUUAAAUUUGCUGACAGGUAUUUUUGCAAGGCAUUUAAUACUUUUAAGUCCAAGUGAAAUAUUUUUCUAUAGUGCCUUUUCAGUAUUUACAGUACAGUUGAGAAAAUCUUUCUCAGAUAAGGUCUAUAUUUCUUUUCUAAUGCAAUCCUCACAGAUUCUCAAAUUAACAAUAUCAUGACAUGCCAAAUCAUUAUGAUACUACUAUUAUUUUCA